CCUACGUGAGGCAGCAGUAGGGAAUCUUCCACAAUGGGCGAAAGCCUGAUGGAGCAACGCCGCGUGGGUGAAGAAGGUCUUCGGAUCGUAAAACCCUGUUGUUAGAGAAGAAAGUGCGUGAGAGUAACUGUUCACGUUUCGACGGUAUCUAACCAGAAAGCCACGGCUAACUACGUGCCAGCAGCCGCGGUAAUACGUAGGUGGCAAGCGUUAUCCGGAUUUAUUGGGCGUAAAGGGAACGCAGGCGGUCUUUUAAGUCUGAUGUGAAAGCCUUCGGCUUAACCGGAGUAGUGCAUUGGAAACUGGGAGACUUGAGUGCAGAAGAGGAGAGUGGAACUCCAUGUGUAGCGGUGAAAUGCGUAGAUAUAUGGAAGAACACCAGUGGCGAAAGCGGCUCUCUGGUUUGUAACUGACGCUGAGGUUCGAAAGCGUGGGUAGCAAACAGGAUUAGAUACCCUAGUAGUC
rnacentral:rRNA from 1 species